GGUUUCUUAAAGUCCAAGGAUGCAGAGCGACGUCUGGACCAGCUGAAAGCUGAGCUGGAGCGAGGCAGCCAGCAGAUUCCUUCACAGCAGCUGCCUGAGCUCACCGACUGGCUGAAGGAGCAGCAGGAGGAGGUUGGCAUGUUCAGAACCCACUGCCACAACAGGCAGAAAAAAAUAGAGUCGCUCCUCGUCGACUUGAACAGGUAAUUGUUCGAGGGUUUGCCUUAGUUUGAAAAUAUACAAACCUGUAGUGACUUUAAAUCAACAUUUUCUUUGUUUGUGUUUGUUUUUAUAUUUUCUAGUCUGCAAAAGCAGCAUGACAGCUUCCGUGAUUGGCUGCAGACUAAAGAAAAGCAGUCUGUGGUGUCAGACAAAGUUAAACUUCUUUAUAAAGAUCUUCAGGAUGAGAGGUGAUUUCCAACAUUCUUUGCAGCCAGACAUAGCAAUAUUUUAGUUCAUUCAGUAUAUGUUUAAAAAAUGUUAACUAUUUUUGAAAGAUUGUUAGUCCGGAUCUGAAUAAAACAUAAUGCAUGAUCCUCUAUAUGCUGUGUGAUGCUUCUACGUAUAGAUGGUUUGACUUGUAUCUCCCUCUUUUCACAUGACAGUGGUAGAGCUGAUUCUCUCAGUGAGAUGUUAGCAUCUGUCCGCAGACAAGGCGUCAGAUGUGACUGCCUUCUGAAGGACAGUGAUAACUUAAUACAGCGCUACCGGAACCUGCAGGCCAGGCUCCAGAAACAGGUGGAAGUCCAAGAAGCUCUUAAGGGGGAGUAUGACAGAUUUAACACUGAAGCUGAGAAUACUAGGACCUGGAUGACUGACCUUCUGCAAACCCUCACCUCCACUGACACACAGGCAGAGGACAUGAAGAGCAAAGCACAGAUAAUCCUAACUGCCCAGCCUACGGGAGACUCAAAGCUGAUAAACCUGAUAAGCCAAAGCCAGAGUCUGUGUGAGCAGGAGGACCUAGAAGACAGUAGAAAGGAAAAGGUCCAGCAGUUGCUUAGAACAAUGGAUGAGCAGUGGAGGCUAGUACUGCAGACAGCUGGAGAGGCUCUCAAGAAGGCAGAAACACGAGCCCUGUUAGACAACGACAUGGAUGCUUUCAGAACCCAGAAUGAAAACUUUCAUUCAUGGAUUAGAGACCAGGAGAAUAAGCUGCAGUCUGUCGCGGCUCACAUGCAAGUUGAAGAAAAGCUACAGAUUGCACAGGUAAGUUCAAAAUUGCAUGUGAAUUAAUUAGGUUACGUUUAACAAUAUUAGGGUGUCAAUGACAAUGAGGUCACCUAAAGAAUAUUCUUGUUCUACACAGGCGACACUCAGCUCUCAGUCUAGGGGAGAGUCAAAGCUUCAGGAUUUGAAGAAACAAGGGCAAAGUCUGUGCGAAAACCUGGACUUGGAAGAAAAUAGAAGACAAGAUGUUCAGGAUGCAAUCAGAGACACAGAGGAGACCUGGAGGGAGGUCUUGAGAGCUGCUGAGGAGGCUGUAAACAAGGCAGAGACUGAAGCUGCAAAAGAAAGAGACUUUAAUGAUUUUAAAAGCCAAAGCGACAGCAUCCGGUCCUGGAUCACAGAGCAGAGACAGAAGCUCUCAGAAACCUUCAGCAGCCACACACAGUAUGAGGAAAGGUUGCAAGUUGCACAGGUGGGUUUAAAUAUAUUAUAACAAUGGAUCUCAAUAUAAAGUUUGGUGGUACAGCUCAGACCAUUUUCAACUAUAAUAAAGCAGUCAAAUGCUUACA
ensembl:lncRNA